rnacentral:rRNA from 1 species
GGAAGUAAAAGUCGUAACAAGGUUUCCGUAGGUGAACCUGCGGAAGGAUCAUUACUGAUUUAGCGAACCGAGCGUUAGCGAGGUUUUGCGAUCACUUAUAUUUAAAACCCACUCUUUGAACGUAUAAAAUUUUAUGUAUUAAUGAUAAAAAUAAAAGAUCACUUUCAACAACGGAUCUCUUGGCUCUCGCAUCGAUGAAGAACGUAGCGAAGUGCGAUAAGUAAUGUGAAUUGCAGUAUUCCGUGAAUCAUCGAAUCUUUGAACGCAUAUUGCACUUUCUGGUAUUCCGGAAAGUAUGCCUGUUUGAGGGUCAGUUAAAUAAAAAUCGGUGUUGUUGCUGCCUUUCGUGGUGACGCGUCGGAAUUGAGUUGUCUUACCUUCGGUUAAGUGACUUAAAAUUUUGUAUGAUUUUUGAACGUAUUUAAAUUUUAUUUGUACGUUUGAGAUAUCGAAUGUUUAUUAGGUUCGGUCAUUCUAAUGACCCGCGCCUAUAGUUUUUUCAUUAAAUGACCUCAAAUCAGGUAAGAAUACCCGCUGAACUUAAGCAUAUCAAUAAGCGGAGGA